AGGUAGUAAUAAAUUAUAUGUUAAACCUAUUUAUUUAACGGCGGCAUUUUUCCUAAUUAGAGGAAUCUGUAAUAUAAUAGAUAAUUCACAAUAAAUUUUACUUUAAAUUAAAACUUAUAUACCGCCAUCUAAAGAAUUAAAUACAAAAAUAUAUUCUUAAUAAUUAAUAAAAAGUUAGGUCAAGGUGUAGUUUAUAUUAAAGUACUUUAUAUGGAUUACUUUAAAAAAAUUUAUAGAUUAAAAAAAAUUAUUUUUUUAUAAAACAGGAUUUAAAAGUAAUAAAUUAAUAAUAUUUAUAUAUUAAUAAGAUUACAAAUGUGC
rnacentral:rRNA from 1 species